rnacentral:misc_RNA from 1 species
GAUGAAGAACGUAGCGAAAUGCGAUAAGUAAUGUGAAUUGCAGAAUUCAGUGAAUCAUCGAAUCUUUGAACGCACAUUGCGCCCGCCAGCAUUCUGGCGGGCAUGCCUGUUCGAGCGUCAUUUCAACCCUCGAGCCCCCCCGGGGGCCUCGGUGUUGGGGGACGGCACGCCAGCCGCCCCCGAAAUGCAGUGGCGACCCCGCCGCAGCCUCCCCUGCGUAGUAGCACACACCUCGCACCGGAGCGCGGAGGCGGUCACGCCGUAAAACGCCCAACUUUCUUAGAGUUGACCUCGGAUCAGGUAGGAAUACCCGCUGAACUUAAGCAUAUCAAUAAGCGGAGGA